UACGUAGGGGGCUAGCGUUGUCCGGAAUCAUUGGGCGUAAAGAGCGUGUAGGCGGCCCGGUAAGUCCGCUGUGAAAGUCGGGGGCUCAACCCUCGGAUGCCGGUGGAUACUGUCGGGCUCGAGUACGGAAGAGGCGAGUGGAAUUCCUGGUGUAGCGGUGAAAUGCGCAGAUAUCAGGAGGAACACCGGUGGCGAAGGCGGUGAUCUGGGCCAGUACUGACGCUGAGGAGCGAAAGCGUGGGGAGCGAACAGG
rnacentral:rRNA from 1 species